GGGUUUUGGCUCAUUAGUAGAGUGCUCACCUCGCACGUGCGAGAUCCUGGGUUCGAUUCUCAGCAGCACA
rnacentral:tRNA from 1 species